rnacentral:rRNA from 1 species
AAUGAACGUUGGCGGCGUGGAUUAGGCAUGCAAGUCGAGCGCGAAUCGGUCUUCGGAUCGAGGACAGCGGCGAACGGGGUAGGAAUACCUCGGUGACGUACCCCCGGGUCGGGGAUAGCGGCGGGAAACUGCCGGUAAUACCCGAUACUCUGCCUUGAUUUUAGUUUGGGGCAGCAAAGGUGUGAUUCCGUCUGGGGAGCGGCCGAGGCCGUAUUAGCUAGUUGGUAAGGUAACGGCUUACCAAGGCGAUGAUGCGUAGGGGGUGUGAGCGCAUGGCCCCCACCACUGGCACUGAGACACUGGCCAGACACCUACGGGUGGCUGCAGUCGAGAAUCUUCGGCAAUGGGCGAAAGCCUGACCGAGCGACGCCGCGUGCGGGAUGAAGGUCUUCGGAUUGUAAACCGCUGUCGGAGGGGAUGAAAUGCAUGGGGGUACUCCCCUGUGUUUGACAGAGCCUCGGAGGAAGCACGGGCUAAGUUCGUGCCAGCAGCCGCCGUAAUAC